GUCUAUGGCCACGCCGCCCUGAGCAAGCCAGAUCCCAUCCGAUCUCGGAAGCUAAGCAGGGUCGGGCCUGGUUAGUACUUGGAUGGGAGACCACCUAGGAAGACUAGGUGCUGUAGGCG
rnacentral:rRNA from 1 species